CCAUUCUGUAGGUUGUCUGUUUACUCUAGUGUUAGUUUCUUUUGCUAUACAGAAGCUCUUUAAUUCCCAAACUGAUUUUAAUGGCUAAUCAAAAAUAUGAGGAGGUAAUUUGUAAUAUUUCCUGCAUACAGUAAUUUCAUAAGAUUUUCUUUAAGUUGUAGGUUUUUAUUGGAUUGAUUUUAAGUAAAUAUUAUUGAUGGAAAUUCUCACAAGUCUUCAUUAUUGGGAAGCAGAAUUAAAGACUGAAGGAAGUACCCACUCAUAUCUAUACAAAGUCAGAUGAUUUUAAAGUCUCCAACAAAGUUAUAUGUAGUAAAUUGGAAAACAACACAACAAGACCCUGUGAAAAAGAGACCUAGUGGGAAAGGACCAAGCCCGUCAUUAGCAGUGAAAACUUGGGAUGUUAUUAAUGUAAGCCUCACCCUUAAAAUGGGAAAACCAAUAUCUACCUUGGUGGCAUUAAAGGAGCAAAUCAAUAUAGGCUGUGAUGCUCAAUAAAUAUGUCUGGGAUAAAUGAACGCUGUAAGUUACCCAUCAGCUACACUGCCGUUUCUGGCAGGUACCUUCUUAUUAACAAGUGGUUGCUCAUGAGAAUAAUAAUAGCACCUAGAAUUUAUUGCGUAUGUGUUACAUGCAAGGCACAGUUCUCAGCAUUUCACACGAAUUGCUUAAUUUAAUGAUCACUACAGCUGCAUGGGGUAUUACUUCCUCUGUUUCGAGGACCUUGUCCACAUACACAGAGCUUGUACAGAUGUAAGCAGUCGGCUUUCCCAUAUAAUUGUAUUUAGUCCUUCAGCUGAAAUUACUCUUCAUCACAAGUCUGUUUCCACUAGCUCGUGUAAGGAUUAUUGCUGAACUAUGUCAGGGCUAUAUAUAAAUUCUGGUAUCCAAAGGAAAAAGUCCAGGAUUAAAUCCACUGUACAGGCUUUCUACUCACAUGUCCAGGCUCUUCUGGAUCACAGAGGCAGGUUAUAAAACUGUUUACCAGAAACUGUUUUGACACGACCCAGGUCUAUCCAGGGAGAUCUAGACUCAAUCAAAAAACUAAAUUGCCACGACCUUUGCCCAACAUAUUUUCACCUUCCUGGACUUUGGUUCCUCUGAUGCUAAAAUGGAAAACGUUUGGGCAAUCGACUAGCUGAUUUUCUCACUAAACGGUGCUCUGGUGUUUGAGAAGGGUACCACACCAGCUUUACAGAUAAGGUCACCAAGUUUUGUAUUCUUCAAUAGCUCUGUAGUGUGUUUACAAACGAAUGCCCCUUCCCUAAGCAGGGGGUUUGGAUGACAUUGAAAAGCCUAUUCCCUACUUGACAUAAAUUACUUUAGCAGAAGGGUAAGGCUGAAGUGACUAUUUGAAAAGUUGUGUCUGCGAUCCUUAUUUGCAGAUGCUGAGCAAGAUCAGUGCUGUUUGUAUCAUGUGUGGCAGUGUCCCCUCUCAAUAUCAAAGUAAAGGGCUCUUAGUCCCUUAAUGGAUUCCCUGCUCACCUUAUCCCAAUGAUAUUCUCAACCUGAUGCUUCUCACUUCCUGGUAGAACACUCAUCAGUCUCAGACUAGACUAAACACUCAAGAUCACUGAGAUUCUGAAAUCUGGCUUCAUGCCAGAAACCUUAACAUUCAAAGUGAAAUGAACACACUUAACCAAAUACAUCUUGAUGACUCUCUCAGGGCAUUUUCUGUACAGGGAGAACUUCCAUCUCUUAAUCUCAAGAAUGGUACUUUCUCCCCCAAGAAACUGGUCCAUUCUCCAAUGCCUAAAAUAUAAACAAACAAAGUGGGACACCAAAUAACACUCUCACUGCAUCCAGCCCUGUAGCCAGAAUACGAGUCUAAUUACAGUCGUUGGGCUUCAAGUACCACAACGUGGAAAAACAAUUUAGAAAAUGCCUUCUCCUCCUUGUGGCCACCCCACUUCUCCUUCACAUGCAGAAUGCUUCCAAGUAUGAUAUGUUCUAGACUUAAUUUUAGCACAAGGCUCUUUGCUUUGUAACUCUGGUCUCUUCAUUCAAAGUUUACAUAAAUGGAAAUAGGAAAAUACACAGACUUUUCAAAAAAAAGUUGACUGUGAGAAAAUAAAAAGAUUGUAGUCUAUUGAGAAAGACAUAAACAUCUAAGGAAAGUUUUGAUGCUUGGGACUUUUUGUACAUUUGUUACUACUUUCUUAAAAAAUGAUGGGAAAUUUGAGCAACUGUCAAGCCAAGAAAAAAAGCCCAUGAGGGAAAGGGUCAAAAGAGGCCAGAGAGGUACACAGAAAUGAUGAAGCAGUGUCCCAAGGGACAACGUGGGAUCAAGAACACAGGAGACAGGUAGCCUCAGAGACAGGAGUGAAGGAUGUCUCUCUUUAAGACAAGAAGGAAAAGGGGCAAAAGCGGGUGACAAACAGAAAAAUCUGAUGUGAAGGGAAGCUGUGAGAGGCACUCAGUAUAGAUGUAUAACAGGGUGUUCUGCCAAGAUUUCCCAUGGGGUCCUAAGCAGCAUGAAGCCAAGAAACAUUAGGAACAGCCACAAUAGGUCAGCAAAGGAGUUCCCGUAGUUUCAAAUGAAAUUUUACCCAGUACUCUAACAGUGUAUAAGCUUCUGAGGAAGUAGUCAAUGUUCCAUAGAGAUAAGAGAAAAUUCAAACAGGCAAACAACUCUGCAAGGCUGAAUUGCAGGCAUGAUCUAAAACUUCCUUCUUUCUUCUAAAGGCCUCCUCCGUUCCAAAGUUGCUCAUCCUAAAACCUGAAAAAAAAAAUGACUCAGAAGUGGUUCCCAUCUCAAGAACUACCCACGAGUCUCAGUGGACACAUUCCCCGAUGCAGCCUUCCAAUCCAGCAGAGGUUCCAACCAACUUCCAAACAGGUGCAACUUGAUGGCACCUCAUUUUUGGCUGUACCAGAUGCCUUCUAUCUCUGGACUCCUGCCCUCAGACUUCUCCGACACCUGAAGAAAGCUUCUGGGACAGCUGACAUGCACAACCUGGGAGCUAAAACAUGUGGGACCAGCUGUGACCAAUGAACAAUGAUGGACAGGAGACGAUAACCCCAUUAGUUCCUUACAGUGCUGAGAUAAAUUUCAUGAGUCUCCUAGAAGAUCUGAUGGGAUUGAACAUCAGUUGUACCUAGCAUGGCCGCUGUACUGGCUUUCCUUCCUUCCCUAUUUCAUCCCCCCUCGUCCCUCCUACUCCUUGGGAUCACAUUGACAAAUAAGUCUCUUGCAUGCAAUUCUUUAUUUCAAGCUCUGUAUUCAGUUAGCAGACAGCAGAAAUGUGGUCCAAAGCAGGAGAGGACUCAGCAGCAGCAGGCUCUGGUACAAUCUGCCCUGUCACUCAAGCCAUGUGAAUGAGAAGAUCCAGUGGUGGCUGGUUGAAUGCAUGACUCCCCUGUGGAUGUCAGCCAGAGUCUUCUUCUCAGACAACCAGUGCUAGCACAAUGGGCCCAUGGAUGAGAUGGCUCAGGUGGCAGGAUAAAGGCUGUAUGUGGGCUCGGUAUUGUGGGCUUUCUCUUAGCAAUGACCUAGCUAUUACCACUGCUGAAUGGUCCAGCCAACCAAUGGCAGAGGGAGAUGCCAAUCUCUAUAGCACCUUCACAGAUAUCAGCCAGGCCCUUGGGGAAAGGCUGAUCAUAACAGACCACUUCCACCCCAAAAAGGAGAGGGGAGAUAGAAAUUCAUGCUUACAUAAAUUGACAUGUACUCCAGGUUUGGGUUUGCUUUCUCUGCCUUUAGGGUCUCUGCAAGUGCCACUAUUUGAGAACAUAAGAAUGCCUAAUCUAUCAGUGUAGUAUCCCACACAACAUUGCUUCAGACCCAGGGAUCGAUAUAUGUCAAAGGAGGUGCAGCAAUGAGUGUAUGAGUAGGGACUCCAUGAGUUUUCUCAUAUACCACCUCAUUCACAAGCAUCCAGCUUAACUGAAGACUGGAUUGGCCUGUUAAAGGCUUAGUUAGGAGACUAGCCUGAGAAACACAAUCUGCGAUUCCAGUAUCACCUUGAUUCACGCCCCGGCCCUGGAAUUUCUGCAAGGUAGCUUGGUUUUUUGGUUUUGUUUUUGAGGGGUUUUUUAGUGAAGAAUGGUGUCAGAAUCUGGGUAGCAGGUGUUCUCAUUGUUAUUGGGAUCUCAUUUCUUCUUGGUCCUUUUAAGAGGCAGAGCUAGGAAAUAUAUGACCGUAUGUAUACUAUACAUAUAUAUGUCUUCACACAUAUUUAUAAAUAUACA
rnacentral:lncRNA from 1 species